CAUAAAUAAUAAAAACUCUAGUGUCUUCAAUUUUUUUGAAGUAAUCAAUUCAUUAAGAGUUAGGAAAACAUUACAGCAAUAUUGGGAGGUAAACUCUCCCAAACAUACAAACAAGAAUGGGAACAAGCAGUCUGCGCUAUGUUAUCGGCUACCCUUGCCUUGUCUUUGAACCCAACUUAUGGAUACAUUAGCUUGAAGUGCUAGCAGAGUCCUACAAUCUUCAAUAAUGAAUCUUAACUCAGAAUAAUAUUCCCCAUUGGACAUCAAAGCAUUUUUUACCAUUUGUGCGUCCACUUUGACAAUGCCCGACCUAGUGAUAUUGGAGAUUAUAUAUUGCAGUGAAUUACGGUAGCCAAGUAGUUAAGUUAGAUAGGGAGAUCGGCACCCUCAUAACCUUUCAGAGAAAAUCGUCAAUACUCUUUCUGCCAAGUCUCGAACGACUGCUCCCUCUCCUGCCUUAUAACCUGCGUCAAAAUUUGAACCGUCCACAUCGCAUUUCCAGACCCCAAGCGAUGGAGCUUCUCACAGCAGGGACCUUGACUUGGUGCGUGAGUGUUGUACCUUGUCUAUGUCUCUAACUUAAUGUGCAUGUCUCUGUUCAUGCAAAAACUUCCUCACUAGUAAGAUGGAGGUCUAAUCACCAAACAUCCUUCAAGUCUAUAGAAAUUCAUUCCGCUCAAGUAAGAAGCACCAUAAGUAGCAAAGUAUCUCCAUUAACUCUCGUUUUGCCAUUGUUUUAGCUUGAUGUUCCAUCCAUCUGAAUACAUCAUUGGUCUGUCUUGCCUGAAAGUGUAUACCCAGUUUCCUCCUUGUCACAUCUAGGGCACAAGUUCACAAUUCCAAUCCGUUUCUCCUACAGUUUAGAUUUUACUAGGGGGAUAUUAUUCAGCAAUCUCCAUGUGAAAUUCUUAACUUUGGGGUGGGGGGACUUCUGACUACCAUAAAU
rnacentral:lncRNA from 1 species